AGGAAAAUAAUUUAAUGGAAAAAUAAUGAUCUCCAAAAUCAAAGAUAAAGGUUCGAGUCCUUUUUUUCCUG
rnacentral:tRNA from 2 species